rnacentral:lncRNA from 1 species
CAUAAAAGAUGCUGCCAAAUUGUCUCCUCUACAGGCUUUGAGUUUAUAGUCCCAUUGGGAGAAUGCUGAUCUCCCCACAUCCUUACCGAUACUGUAUUACACUUUUUCAUCUUUGUCAGCAUGAUAGAUAGAUGAAAAACUAUACAUUUCAUAUGUAUUGUGUUCAUUAUGGAAGUGAACAUCUUUUAAUAUUAGUGGUUAUUUUGAUUCACUUUCCUGAGAACUGCCUUGUUUGCCAAUUUUCUUUUGGUUCGUUCAUCUUUUUCUUAUUGAUUUAUAAGAAUUUUCAUGUAUAUGAAGAAAAUUAGCCCUUUGUCUAGCAAAUGCUGUAAAUAUUUUCUCCCUGUUUAUAUUUUGAUCAAUAUGAUGGUAACUUCUUCGCACAAUUUUUAUGUGCUCAUAUUUAUCAGCUUUUUUCUUUAUGGCCUUUGGGUCUUAAGUUUUAGAAGAUACGUUUCCCACUUCACAAAGUAAUGUAGGGGGUUCCUGUUGUAGCUCAGUGGGUUACAAACCCGACUAGUAUCCAUAAGGAUGCAGGUUUGAUCUCUGACCUCGGUUAGUGGGUUAAGGAUCCGAUGUUGCCGUGAGCUAUGGUGCAGGUCACAGAUGAGGCUUGGAUCCUGCAUUGCUACGGCUGUGGUAUAGGCCACCAGCUUCAGCUCCAAUUUGACCCCAGCCUGGGAAUUUCCAUAUGCCACAGGUGCAGCCUUAAAAAGCAAAAAAAUAAACAUAAAAACUUUACUCAUGUAUUCUAGCAUUCCCAUGGUUUCUUUUCUUUUCUUUUUUUUUUUUUUUGUAACAUUUAAAUCUGGUAUCCAAGAAAAGGAUUUAGUUCCUUUUUCCGACCUGUGGCUAACAUGAAGAGCUAACCUGUGACCCUCCUCCAUUUAUGAAAUGGUUCAUCUUCCCCUUUGCCCCCACCUCGAUUUGGCAGACCUCCUCUUUCAUGAACUCUAUUCCCAUAUGCAUUCGGUCUCUGUCUAGGCUCUCUUUUCAUUUGUUUAUUUUUCUUCUUUUCUCUCUCUGCUUUGAAAGUACAUUUUAUAACUUUUAUAACUAGCUUUAUUUUAAUGCUCUUUCCCCCUACAGAUUUAUCCUGGCUCUUUUCACAAGUUAUCUCAUGUAAAAGUUAAACAAAAAUUUUUUUAAUGUUGUCCACUCCUUCCCCCUACGAAAACAGCAUUUGAAUUUUGAGAUUAAUUUAGGUAUAAUUUAGAGCUUAUAAUACUGAGCAAUUCUGCCUAAGAAAUGUCUCUAAUGUCAGUUUUAGCAGCAUGCUUACUCCCUCUGAUAAACUUCUUCCUAUCAGUGGGAGAAAAAUUCUUGGGCACCACAUGUUUCUAACUGCCAGGUCAAGGCCUCCCCCAGCAGAGGAACAUUUUGAUGUCAAUUUUCUACAGAAACAACAAUUCAGGUAACAAAUGCUUACAAGAUACAACUCUUGAUCAGCCUUUUAAAACUAGUGGGACACUACUCUUAUUUUUUCCUAAUUUUUAAAACAAUUUUUCAAAAACUUUCUCCCGUAUGUCUAGAAAGAAUACAUAAACCAAGUAAGUUUUUAAAGCGUUCCAUACUCUGUCUCACUAGCACUAUUCCAGGGGAAUUGAUAGAGACCCAUCACUACUCUGAAAGGGUUUUGUGAAUAAACACACAGAAGGAGCAGGUGUACUUCCUCUGCCCUGUCUCCACACAUGCCUGCUAGACAGUGAGACAUGGUCCUUUAGCCUCAAGAAGCUACUAGAGAAAUACGCAGUUCCAGUGUAAUGUGGUGGAGGGAUAAAGGGGGAUAUCUACAGGCCAAGUGGAGGAAGGAGUGUUCGUCUGGCGAAAUCGGGGGGGGGGGGCCAGAGGGGAAAGUACAUUAUUUGAGCUGAGACUUGAAGCCUUUUUUAGAAAGAAAGGACAUCUGGGCAGAAGGAAUAGCAUUUGCAAAGACACAAAGGAAUAUGGGGUAGUCAGGACUUCCAAGGAGUUCAGAAGCAUCACACAUUGAGAGAGAAAGAAGGGAAGCAGGCUAAACGAACCAAGAUCAGUUCAUAUACUUGAAGAUUGUCCAUAAAAGUCAUCCUAAAGACAGGGGAGAGGCAGAAAGGACGCACAAAGUGGCAAUGGGGAGAAUAAAGGAUCAUUCAACGGUCACUGUUUUUUAUCUGUUAUGGUGUCUGUGUCCCCAGGAAUAUGUAACAUAAGCAGAAGGUCUGGGUCUGGUGGGAAAGCUCACAGCCCCAAAGGGAUUGCGUGACUUCAUAAUUUCUGUGGAACCUGCGUUCCCAUCAUGGCUCAGCGGAAAAGAAUCUGGCUAGCAUCCAUGAGGACACAGGUUUGAUCCCUGGCCUUGCUCAGGGGGUUUAGGAUCUGGCUUUGCCAUGCUGUGGUAUAGUAGGUUGCAGACGGGACCUGGAUCUGGUGUUGCUGUGGCUGUGGUGUAGG